UGAAUUAUUUUUUCACCCAUGUCUUUUGCGCACUUGUUGUUUCCUGGGCGGGUUCGCCCGCCACCAGGACCACACCAUAAACCUUUUUAUCUGUAGUUGCAAUCAGCGUCAGUAACAAGUAAAUAAUCAUUUACAACUUUCAACAACGGAUCUCUUGGUUCUGGCAUCGAUGAAGAACGCAGCGAAAUGCGAUACGUAGUGUGAAUUGCAGAAUUCAGUGAAUCAUCGAAUCUUUGAACGCACAUUGCGCCCUUUGGUAUUCCAAAGGGCAUGCCUGUUCGAGCGUCAUUUGUACCCUCAAGCUUUGCUUGGUGUUGGGCGUUUUUGUCUUUGGCUACAGCCCGAAGACUCGCCUUAAAACGAUUGGCAGCCGGCCUACUGGUUUCGCAGCGCAGCACAUUUUUGCGCUUGCAAUCAGCAAAAGAGGUUGGCGAUCCAUCAAGUCUUACUUUCUCACUUUUGACCUCGGAUCAGGUAGGGAUACCCGCUGAACUUAAGCAUAUCAAUAAGCGGAGGAA
rnacentral:rRNA from 1 species